rnacentral:rRNA from 1 species
AUACGGAGGAUCCGAGCGUUGUCCGGAUUUACUGGGUUUAAAGGGUGCGUAGGCGGGUGGCUCAGUCGGCGGUGAAAUGCAGCGGCUCAACCGUUGCCCUGCCGUCGAAACUGGCCGCCUUGAAUUCGGUCGAGGCCGGCGGAAUGCGCGGUGUAGCGGUGAAAUGCUUAGAUAUCGCGCGGAACGCCGAUUGCGGAGGCAGCUGGCUGGACCGAGAUUGACGCUGAUGCACGACAGCGUGGGGAUCGAACAGGAUUAGAUACCCUGGUAGUCCACGCCGUAAACGAUGAUGGCUGGGUGUUGCCGAUACACUGUCAGCGCCUGAGCGAAAGCAUUAAGCCAUCCACCUGGGGAGUACGAUCGCAAGGUUGAA